AUCUUUUUGUGGUUCAUAAGCAUGAUGAUUGGGAUUUUGUGCUAUUUUUGUGUGAUAUUCCUCUCCCAAACUUUGUUACAGUGUUAGUACAUAUCCUUCUGACA